ensembl:rRNA 5S_rRNA 5S ribosomal RNA
GCUUACGGCCAUACCAGCCCACGCCCGGUCUCGUCUGAUCUCGGAAGCUAAGAAGGCUUGGCCUGGUUAGUACUUGGAUGGGAGACCUCCUGGGAAUACCAGGUGCUGUAAGCU